rnacentral:lncRNA from 1 species
AAAAAGAAAAAAAAACAAAAAGGAAAAGGUAAUGAUUACAAUACAUUUUGUAGGGUCACAUGCAGAAUUUAUAAUUAAAAUGUAAUAAUCAAUCAACAUGGUGAACUUCAGGAUCAAACUCAGUAUUUUAUGCCAAAGCUGAAACUUCUUAAUUUUUUCUGUUGCCUCUGAACCAUCAGGAUGGCCAGGGGUCAAAGAAAGGAAAAUUCAGCUGAAGUAAGAGUUGACUUGUGAAUUGGAAGCCCAGGUGCAUCUUGCAAGGCUAGGUUACGGGUUCUGGUGAGUACCAGGAGAGCCUCUGUCCCAAACAUGGAAGGACUUGCAUCCUGGCAGCCCCUGCUCCUGCACCACAGGACAUCUAAGAUGAUUUUUGCAGUGGCUGUUUUUUGCUUUUGUUUUUCCAAAGAAAAGAAGGACAGAACUCUUCAAUCUGUUCAGACUUGCAGUCCAGAAAAGGAAGCUCUUAAUCGGAGAAGAACAAAUGGAUCUGGUUCGAUAUAUGCGACGGUGGGGGCAAGGGAGCUAGAAGAGAGUUGAUGUCAAUGGACAUUUUAAGAUUUGUAGUAAAAGAUGGCUUUUGUGAACUUUGGGCAUUCACAGUUGUUCAUGAGAAACUUUGUUAUUUAUGAUGAGAUGGUCCAUGGUGGACUAUCAGGAAAUGGGAACAUAUGUGUUGGUAAGUAAAAGUAAUUCAAAAUAUAUUCCAAUAUUUUUAGAUGCCUAGCAAUCUGUCUGAAGUCAGAUACCCAGAAUUCUUUGCUUUGGCAUUUUUUUCAGCAUUUGGCAAGAUAUUCUUGAUUUUUUUUUCUUUUUUAACAUGUAUUUAUAUGCAAAAAAUUGUACCGCGGGAAAUAAUCGAAUGGCUACUCUCUUGGUACCAGUCAGAGGGUUCCGCCUGGAGCAAGUAGAUUGGUUGUGUUGAAGAUUUUAUUUAUUGAGGGGCUUGCAUGACUCUGUCAGUUAAAUAACUGAUUCUUGAUUUCAGCUCCGGUCAUGAUCUCAGUGUCCUGAGAUGGAGCUCCACAUCGGGCUGGCUCCCCACUGGGCAUGGAGUCUGCUUGAGAUUCUCUCUCUUCCUCUGCCCCCCCAUAUAAAUAAAUAAACCUUAAAAAAUAAAGAUAAACA